rnacentral:rRNA from 1 species
GACGAACGCUGGCGGCGUGCCUAAUACAUGCAAGUUGAGCGAUGAAGAUUGGUGCUUGCCCCAAUUUGAAGAGCAGCGAACGGGUGAGUAACGCGUGGGGAAUCUGCCUUUGAGCGGGGGACAACAUUUGGAAACGAAUGCUAAUACCGCAUAAUAACUUUAAACAUAAGUUUUAAGUUUGAAAGAUGCAAUUGCAUCACUCAAAGAUGAUCCCGCGUUGUAUUAGCUAGUUGGUGAGGUAAAGGCUCACCAAGGCGAUGAUACAUAGCCGACCUGAGAGGGUGGUCGGCCACAUUGGGACUGAGACACGGCCCAAACUCCUACGGGAGGCAGCAGUAGGGGAUCUUCGGCAAUGGACGAAAGUCUGACCGAGCAACGCCGCGUGAGUGAAGAAGGUCUUCGGAUCGUAAAACUCUGUUGGUAGAGAAGAACGUUGGUGAGAGUGGAAAGCUCAUCAAGUGACGGUAACUACCCAGAAAGGGACGGCUAACUACGUG